rnacentral:rRNA from 1 species
GACAUAGGUCGCAAACGUUAUCCGGAAUUAUUGGCGUAAAGGAUGCGUAGAUGGUUCAAUAAGUUACUGGUGGGAAAUCGAGGCUCAACCUCGUGGAAGUCAGUAAUACUGUUGAACUUGAGUGCAGGAGAGGUUAACGGAACUUUAUGUGGAGCGGUAAAAUGCGUAGAUAUAUGAAAGAACAUCAAUAUGGCGAAGGCAGUUAACUAUUCUGUUACUGACGUUGAGGCAAUGA